rnacentral:lncRNA from 1 species
GAACAUGAUAAGUCAGUAAUUAAGACCUUUCCAGAUUGUGGGUCAACCAAUGAAACGCAUAUUACUUAUUCUCCUUUUAAACUUACUCAACAAUCUCAGGAUAUCAGAGGAAAAAAUUGUUUUCCAGAAAGCACUUAUGAGAAAUCCAUAGAUAAUAAAUUCCUAGGAUAUCUAGUAGAACAACAGAAGACUCAAGAUCUAUCCCCUGAACAACAAGAUUCCAAAACAAUUCCUAUGGAACCCAUUAUUCUAAGAAGUCAUGAAGAGCCUUCUUCCUACUCUCAAUUUGAGGUAUCUAGACCUCAAUCUGAAACCUAUCUUUUGCCUUAUCCUAUUACAACUAUAAUUGUUCCAACUGCCACUCCUAAAGAUAAGGUUGCCAAAUUCUUUGAUAUUCCCAACAAUUUUCCUAAUACUAAUGACCAGAUGUCUAAUUCCUUGACAAAAAUCCAAGCGUCAUCUUACAAUAAUUUGAUGCUCCAAAAAGAAGUUUCUUCCUUGUAUAACAAAAUCGACUCUUCGGUAAACAGAAACUUCGAGAGUUAUAUUACCAGAAUCAUCAAUACCUCUUUCUACAACAUAAUCAAUGAUCCUAAAGGAAUUACCAGAUUAAAAUUUAGAUUGUUCCAUAAUGUUCUCUUCUCCAAGAUCUAUAUCCAACCCAAUCCAAAUAAGACUCUUUGUUACCAUUCUCAAACCAAAAACUCCUUUAAAAGAAAAUCUCAAAACCAAAUCUCGGCUGAAGCCCUAUGCACAAAUAAUGAAAUCUUAAUCCAUAAGCAAGAUCUUUUUGGAAACAUAUUUGAUAUCAGAGGAAAAAAUUGUUUUCCAGAAAGCACUUAUGAGAAAUCCAUAGAUAAUAAAUUCCUAGGAUAUCUAGUAGAACAACAGAAGACUCAAGAUCUAUCCCCUGAACAACAAGAUUCCAAAACAAUUCCUAUGGAACCCAUUAUUCUAAGAAGUCAUGAAGAGCCUUCUUCCUACUCUCAAUUUGAG